CAGCAGCCCAAGGCUUCCACGGCGAGCUGUAGGCGGAGAAGUGCACGCCCCCAUUCCACUCAAUUGAACGCCGCAUCGCAUCGCCGAUUGAGGGGUCGACCUAGAAGAUGUGGCAAUUUCCUGGACGACGCCGCCGCCAACGACGAGGACGCUACUGCUUUCAGUACACCAGGCUCCAGGGUCCUCCCAUCACCGAUGGCUGCCCUCGGUGCUGUACUGCGCCUCCCUGACCUCUGCUUCUUCGUAGGACGGGAGAUGAGCAGGGUGUUCUCAAGCGGCAGCUCCAGGUCUUCGGCGGCGCCAUGAUCAACAAGGUUCACCGGGCUAACUAGGUUGAACAGCUCACAGACCGAUGUGCUGAUUUUAGUCGUAAAGCCAGGAACUGAAGAUGGAUUGGUCGCCAGUCUGAAUUUUAUCUAUCUUGCUUCAUAUGUUUUUGGCUCCAUGACCUGUAUGGUUCCACCAAGAUAGAUGUCAAGGUGAGGGUCAUUUCCGGCGUGGUGACCACCGAGUCGUGGCGAACACAUGCAACGUUGGUCAUACACAACAGCUCAAUUUCUUCAGAAUUGGCAUAUGUAGUCAUAUACUCUAUACUCAUGUGCUGCUAUUUCUAGAGGUCUAAACUCGAGGGGGGUGAUUGAUAUUGUCAUGCGUGUGAAGGUGUGCUUCACAAAUGCUCUUCUGCUUGGGAACAUAGAACUGCAGGAUUUGCUUCCAAUGGUUAUGCCUUAGAUCAUGAAAACGAAAGUGACACCCAGGUAAUGGAAGUCUUUUUUUCUUCUAAAUUUGAUAAAUUAUCAGUUAUGUAUGUGCUAUUGCAGUGUGCCUUGAACAUUGUGUUGUACAAAAGAUUGGGAUGAUUUUCAGAAGAUGCAAUGAUAUAUAUGUGUCUAGGAUUAGAAUUAGAUAGUGGAUUGGUAGACACGAUUA